UGAAGCGGCAACAGCUCAAAUUUGAAAUCUGGCCCCUCCCCCGGGGGGGCCCGAGUUGUAAUUUGCAGAGGAUGCUUCUGGCGAGGUGCCUUCCGAGUUCCCUGGAACGGGACGCCGCAGAGGGUGAGAGCCCCGUCUGGUCGGACAACCGAGCCUCUGUGAAGCUCCUUCGACGAGUCGAGUAGUUUGGGAAUGCUGCUCUAAAUGGGAGGUAUAUGUCUUCUAAAGCUAAAUACCGGCCAGAGACCGAUAGCGCACAAGUAGAGUGAUCGAAAGAUGAAAAGCACUUUGAAAAGAGGGUUAAACAGUACGUGAAAUUGUUGAAAGGGAAGCGCUCAUGACCAGACCUGGUCCCGGCGAAUCACCCGGCGUUCUCGCCGGUGCACUUCGACGGGCUUCCAGGCCAGCAUCAGUCCGCGCCGGGGGACAAAGGCGGCGGGAACGUGGCUCCCCAGGGAGUGUUAUAGCCCGCCGCGCAAUGCCCCGGGGGCGGACUGAGGCCCGCGCGUCACCGCAAGGAUGCUGGCGUAAUGGUCAUCAGCGACCCGUCUUGAAACACGGACCAAGGAGUCGUCCUCGUAUGCGAGUGUUGGGGCGUCAAACCCCCCGCGCGUAAUGAAAGUGAACGGCAGGUGAGAGCCCUCGCGGGCGCAUCAUCGACCGAUCCUGAUGUUCUCGGAUGGAUUUGAGUAGGAGCAUACGGGGCCGGACCCGAAAGAAGGUGAACUAUGCCUGUGUAGGGUGAAGCCAGAGGAAACUCUGGUGGAGGCUCGCAGCGGUUCUGACGUGCAAAUCGAUCGUCAAACAUGGGCAUGGGGGCGAAAGACUAAUCGAACCUUCUAGUAUCA
rnacentral:rRNA from 1 species